AUGUUUUUUUGUUUGUUUGUUAUGUGGUUUGAUUUUGUUCUCUUCUGUUUUGUCUUGUGUUUUUGUUUGGUUUUUUUGUUUGGUUUUUUAGGUUUUGUGAUUUUUUUUUUUGGAGUGGAGGUUUGGUUUUGUGAUUUUUGUUUCGGGGAAGGUUGUUUUGGAUUGGUUUUAUGUUUUAUUUUUAUUAUUGUGUUUUUUUGUGUGGUUUGUUGUUUUUUGUGUUUAUGUGAUUUGAUUUUGUUCUCUUCCGUUUUGUCUUGUGUUUUUUUUUGUUUUGUUUUUUUUUUGGAGUGGAGGUUUGGUUUUGUUAUUUUUGUUUGUGGAAGGUUGUUUUGGAUUGGUUUUAUGUUUUGUUUUUAUUAUUUUGUUUUUUUGCGUGGUUUGUUGUUUUUUUGUUUUUGUGGUUUGAUUUUGUUCUCUUCUGUUUUGUCUUGUGUUUUUGUUUAGUUUUUUGUUGUUGUUUUUUUUUUGGUUUUGUGUGUUUUUUGUUUUGGAGUGGGGGUUUGGUUUUGUCAUUUUUUUGUUGUUUGGGGAAGGUUGUUUUGGAUUGGUUUUAUGUUUUGUUUGCUUUUAUUAUUUUGUUUUUUGUGUGGUUUGUUGUUUUUUGUGUUUUUUUAAGCAGAGAUAUAGAGUAUGUGUGUGUGUGUGUUUGUGUGUUUGUUGGUGUGUUUGUUUUUGUGUGUUUGUGUGUGUGUGUGUUUGUGUGUGUGUGUGUUUGUGUGUUUGUUGGUGUGUUUGUUUUUGUUUUUUGUGUUUUUGUGUUUUUUGUUUUGGGGUUGGGGUUUGGUUUUGUGUUUUUUGUCUAGUUUGGUUUAAAUUAGUUUUCGGAUUUGUAAUUGUUUUUUGUUUUUUUUAUUUUUUUUUUUUUUGUGUUUUGUUUUUUUUUUUUGUUUUUUGUGGAUAGACUACAUUUAUUGCUUCAUAGGAAUAUCGUAUCAUUGAGUAUUAUGUUUGCAACAUUUAUAUAAGCAAAUAUUUGAAAGAUGUUCAGUUUUAUGUGUAGCUUUAGUUACAUUUUUCAUAUUUACUUUCCACUAACUGUUAUACAAAAAUGACUGGUUGGUUCACUUUACAAAUCAGUAAGAGGGUGCAGUCCAAGUCUGUGUUUUGUUAGUGUUUUUGUAAUAAGGGUAGAGUGGAUAGAUUUCAUCGUGAUCAGAAAAGAAGUCAAAAAUCUGACUUUGUGAGAUUAGCGGGCGUGGGAACUGGGUCCGACUGAACCUGUAUAAAAAAGGAAGCGCUACUGUAGAUACUACGUAAAAUGUGAAAUAUCACCC
ensembl:lncRNA